CAGUCGAACGAAGAUCUUAAAAUGAGAGCUUCGGCAGGAUUUUUAUUUAUCUUAGUGGCGGACGGGUGAGUAACGUGUGGGCAACCUGCCCUAUACUGGGGAAUAAUCACUGGAAACGGUGACUAAUACCGCAUGUCAUUACGGAAGGGCAUCCUUCUGUAAGAAAAGGAGUAAUUCGGUAUAGGAUGGGCCCGCAUCUGAUUAGCUAGUUGGUGAGAUAACAGCCCACCAAGGCGACGAUCAGUAGCCGACCUGAGAGGGUGAUCGGCCACAUUGGGACUGAGACACGGCCCAAACUCCUACGGGAGGCAGCAGUGGGGAAUAUUGCACAAUGGGGGAAACCCUGAUGCAGCAACGCCGCGUGAAGGAAGAAGGUUUUCGGAUCGUAAACUUCUAUCAACAGGGACGAAGAAAGUGACGGUACCUGAAUAAGAAGCCCCGGCUAACUACGUGCCAGCAGCCGCGGUAAUACGUAGGGGGCAAGCGUUAUCCGGAAUUACUGGGUGUAAAGGGAGCGUAGGCGGCACGCCAAGCCAGAUGUGAAAGCCCGAGGCUUAACCUCGCGGAUUGCAUUUGGAACUGGCGAGCUAGAGUACAGGAGAGGAAAGCGGAAUUCCUAGUGUAGCGGUGAAAUGCGUAGAUAUUAGGAAGAACACCAGUGGCGAAGGCGGCUUUCUGGACUGAAACUGACGCUGAGGCUCGAAAGCGUGGGGAGCAAACAGGAUUAGAUACCCUGGUAGUCCACGCCGUAAACGAUGAGUGCUAGGUGUC
rnacentral:rRNA from 1 species